GCUUGUGUAGCUCAGUUGGUAGAGCACUUCCUUGGUAAGGAAGAGGUCUCCGGUUCAAGUCCGGUCACAGGCU
rnacentral:tRNA from 1 species